CAGCCGCCGCGGUAAUACAGAGGGUGCGAGCGUUAAUCGGAUUUACUGGGCGUAAAGCGUGCGUAGGCGGCUUUUUAAGUCGGAUGUGAAAUCCCUGAGCUUAACUUAGGAAUCGCAUUCGAUACUGGGAAGCUAGAGUAUGGGAGAGGAUGGUAGAAUUCCAGGUGUAGCGGUGAAAUGCGUAGAGAUCUGGAGGAAUACCGAUGGCGAAGGCAGCCAUCUGGCCUAAUACUGACGCUGAGGUACGAAAGCAUGGGGAGCAAACAGGAUUAGAUACCCCCGUAGUCCCUGUCUCUUAUAC
rnacentral:rRNA from 1 species